rnacentral:tRNA from 1 species
GGGCCCAUAGCUCAGUUGGCUAGAGCGCAUCAUUUGCAAUGAUGAGGUCGUGGGUUCGAGCCCCACUGGGUCCA